rnacentral:rRNA from 1 species
GACGAACGCUGGCGGCGUGCUUAACACAUGCAAGUCGAACGAUGAAGCCAGCUUGCUGGUGGAUUAGUGGCGAACGGGUGAGUAACACGUGGGUGAUCUGCCCCAAACUUUGGGAUAAGCCUGGGAAACUGGGUCUAAUACCGAAUAUGACCGAUACUCGCAUGGGUGUUGGUGGAAAGCUCCGGCGGUUUGGGGUGGGCCCGCGGCCUAUCAGCUUGUUGGUGGGGUAAUGGCCUACCAAGGCGACGACGGGUAGCCGGCCUGAGAGGGCGACCGGCCACACUGGGACUGAGACACGGCCCAGACUCCUACGGGAGGCAGCAGUGGGGAAUAUUGCACAAUGGGCGCAAGCCUGAUGCAGCGACGCCGCGUGAGGGAUGACGGCCUUCGGGUUGUAAACCUCUUUCACCAGGGACGAAGCGAAAGUGACGGUACCUGGAGAAGAAGCACCGGCCAACUACGUG